AGAAGCCCAACUGAGCCAGGGAUCAGAUAAGGUGUCCCCGUUCUGAGUAGGUCCUGACGGCGGCGCUCGUGCUGCAUCAGCGGCCACGCGAAAAAAUGGAGGGUUCUGGGCUGAAUUUCCUGCUCGACGCCGUUGACAGGUUCCCAUUGCGAGAGGAGUUCGCCAACAACAUCGAGCAGCCAGAUCCGGUUCCUAUGGCCUUCUUGCCCAACAACGAAGCUGGUCUUGCCGUUCAUGAAGACUCGAAUGCUGGGUCUGGGUGCGCUAAGCAGCUUGGCGGCGAUGGGACUGGUAGAGAAGGAGUUAGUGUCCACCGGCGUCGGGAUGCAUCUCCGACGAGGUCGGCGCAGUCGACCGACCGAGUCAUUCUGGAGGCACCUAGAUGGACGAAAAGGUCUGCACCCAAACCCUCCCAUUCUUGUGCUGUAAUUUUUCAACUGUGACUGUCUUCGUCUCCUCUGUGCAUCAUUUUGUCAAAAAACUGGUUUGCUUUAGCAAAAAUCCUUAAUAUUUUUCUGUCAUAUCUAAAUGGCCCUAUCUAAAUAGUAAGCCGUGGCAUUGCAGCCCUUGCUUAGAGGUGCCUUCUUUUAAAGUCAGGAUCGCGUUCACCAUCUUUUCAGAAAUUAGUGUUGCAGAUUAACUCGAUGUCUGGAUCAAUGUAAAUUAUGUUGUAAGAAGAGGACGAUGCUAGUGUUGGAACAUCAGCCCAGGUGGGGGUGCGGAUGGAGCGAGGUGGAGGAUCAGGAUCAGAGGCAAGGGAUCUGGCCAGAAAACAUGGCCUGAGCAGGGGCUUGUGCGGAUAGCUUGAGAUUGCCGAAUACCUUGCUAAGUGCGGGAUUCGGUAUGAGGUGAUUCUCAGAAGGACGAAACAGCUAUGGCGAGUGGUUCAGGGAAUCCACCAGUUGAUCCUUCAGUAACGAGUGAGUGUGGGGAGAAGUUCCCUCCGCCAGUCGGUCUAAACCAUGAUGAGCCGUCAAUUAGGGAUGUUUUGUGGUUCUACGACAACAUGAUGGGCUGUUCGGACGGGAAGCUGCCGAAAUAAGGCGUCUAUCUUGUAAGUCUAAUCGCAAGGAACUUAUUGAUAUUUGUACUUAUGAGCUGUUUUGUGAUUUUUUCAUCAGAAAUUGGGUUAGCCACUUCAAUCCAAUUGCGGUGGUGUUGUCAGGACCAGGACCUUAAGGAUGAGCUUGGGCCUAGAGGUGAGAUUACAGUGGAUGGCUGCAGGGGCAUCCAUCAAAUGUUAACUGCGAAAGAGUUGAUGAUAUAUACCAUGGAUGGCUAGCAAGAUGGAGAGAGAUUUUGGAUCCCUGCUUUGUGGAACUGCAGGAAGAACUUUGCAAACCAGAUGAUGAAGUUGACUGGGAUUACAUCUGUAAGAUGAUGGAGUCCAAGCUAAUGGGAAACAAGAUUGAGUGGCUGAAGAAGUGCACUUCAUGGGUUGCUGGUCCUUGUACAUCCUGGACCCCGAGAAGGAGAUCUUCACGGUCUUGGACCCAGCUGAGACACACCCUACUGAUGAGAUGGAAAGGAAGCACAUCGCCAAUGCAAAAAGAUUCUAGCUUCUAUUCUGCCAAUGCUUCAGAGACAUAUUCGGUGGCUGGUUGGUUGAAGUGGAAGGAUGGACUUUCCUGUAUGCCUUUAUGUCCCAGCAUGAUCCUUGCGCUAGGGAGGAGAGAAGCGUUUACAUUGUGCACUACAUCCAUGAGUUCAAUGGGCUCUACCUGCGAUCUAUCAUCAGAGGAUAAGUAUCGGGCAUCACAUUUUGAUGAAUGUUGUAGUAACUUGUGAUGAACAUAGGUUUCAUUAAUAUGUGACCUCAUUUGUGUGCACAGAUAUUGUUUGAUCACCUGCGGCUCGCAUAUGAGAUCGUGACUAUGAGAGGGAACCAGCGUGACCUGCCAAGAGUUUCCCGUGCUUUGAAAUCGUAGACCGAGGGAAUGAAGCGGAAUAGUUGCAGGGUGGUCCUAAUUUUUGACUCUGUCAUGUGUGUGUUCCUUAGUGUAUUUUUUCACUUUUGGUUUGUCGCCUCUGAAUUUGUAACCCAAAUGUGGGUACUGUAAACUGGACAAUGGGUUUGAAUUUGUAAUGUCAAACCUGAAGUACUAGUCGAAUGUUGAAGUCGAAGCAUUUCCUUGAAACUUGGUGUUU